rnacentral:tmRNA from 1 species
GGGGGCGAACUGGAUUCGACCGGGUGAGCGGAAGCGUCAGUGGCGUGUCGUGGUUGGUCGGCCGGCCACGUAAAAAGCCGACCAAACCCAAAGUGCCGAAGCGCACUACGCUCUGGCUGCCUAAUUCAACCGCAGCCCCGAACCGCGAGCCUGGCCUGAGGGUGAGCGGGUCUCGGCGAUGCUUAUCAGGCCCCCAGCAGUAGCUACCGGCGGAACUGCUGGCGGUACCCACGGCCGGUUAGCGACGGGUUGGCCCCGCCUGCUGGACCGCCCGGAGCGAAACGGCCCAGCGGCAACGCUGGCCACAAAGCAGGCUACACACGUAGAUGCUGACGCGGAGCCACACCGGGACGCGGGUUCGAUUCCCGCCGCCUCCAUUU